CUUGUCUAGCUUUGUUUUGACAGUGUAUUAGGAGGUUUGAUAGUCAAUCCACACUCAUGAUUUUGAUCAUUUUAGUUAACCAUUCACUAGUUGGUGGCAUAUCCUCUGAUCGUCAGUGUCAGGCGUAAGUGAUCCUGGCCGCGGUAGUUAAAAGUGUUGUAAGAGGAUAUCCUUAUAUUUUUCCAUGUUUGUGUUGGUCAGGCCAAAUAAAAAUUGUUCUGGUUUUGGUUGAAUUUGUGUUUCAAGGAUUCUUUGGAUUACAUCGUGGAUUUCUCUCCAUAACAAUUGCACGUUUUCAAACUGCUAGGUUGGCAGAAGCUGGGGCUAACAGUGGGAGCUUAUCCUGCUCCCCGGAUUUGAACUGUCAAUAUUUUGGUCAGCAAGUUGAGCAGCUCAGCAGUUUUAUGUAUUCAUUACUGUUCACCUGUGAACCACACUAUUACAGAACUGCAAAAAACAUAUACAUCUCAAUUAAUAUAGUCUUUCAAAUGAUUAAAACAUAUCAAGCAUAUAAAAAGUUUAGCACCAACUGAGCAUUGUAAACAUUGCUCCUUUCUCCCCAAUUUUUACAGCUAUUGGGGUGAAACUUGCCACAAUGGUAGAACACAUUUACCACUGUUGGCCCUUAUCCACAGAUUUUGGGGGAAUUUUCAAAGUUUUUAUAAACAACAUUUUUUAGAAACAAAACUACAAGAGAUAUCUCCUUCAAUUUUCCAUACAAAGACUCAAUAUAAAGGAGAUCAUUCCCUCCAACUUUCAGAAAUAUUCAUACAUCUACUGAUUUUAGGGAUUUUUUAAAAUUUUGACAAAAAAGUUUUUAAAAAAAGCUACAACAGCUAUCUCAUUGAAUGUCUCUCAUAUUAACCAAAUAGAACUUCCAUACAGGGAUUUCUUCCCAGCCCAGCACAGAGAUUUACUUACUAGAAGUAUUAGUCAAUCCUCAUCUUUGCAAAUUCAACAGUUUAUUGGAACUCUGGAUGAUUGCCGCUACAGAGGGACAAAUCUCUCCCCUAUGCUGAUUUGGGCGUUCUGAUUGUAAAGAACUCAGGCAGAGGGGAAUCUUUUUAAAUCCCACCUCUGACACUGAUUGUGGAGAAGGAUGAUGUUUAUAUUAAUUAAUUAUUAUAUAUUUUAUAUCCGCUGCCACCAGAUAUUAAACAUGUUUUUAUUUAAAACGCUGCCACCAAGUUAUAGAUGUUUUAUAAUGCUGCCACCAAAUUACAAAGGGGAUUAUCAACUCUUGCCACCACUAUUGGAAGAUUUAGCCACUGGCUACUUAGAGAGGAGACUUUUAUUUUUCUUCUUUCUUCUUUCUUCUUGAUGUGUGUAUAUAUGACAGACUGAGAUGUUUGAGAGUACAAUAACAAGUUUAUUCAGGCACAGCUUAAUGGUUACAGUAACUUCUUUAAAGGCACUUAGAUAAUGGUUGCAAAGCUAUGUUGAGGUGUUCCAAACUUCUUAAAACGUCAGUUAUUUCUCCACUAACAGACCACCUUAAAAUAAGUCACCAAACUUAUUUUAUCCCUGAUCCCCUAACUUAGGAUCAGCUUUCCCUGAGCCUCAACAGAGCCCAGACUACCUAAAAUAAGUCACCAAACUUAUUUUAGAAUUGACUCAAAGUCCCACAUUUGAGCCACCCUGAUCCUCCAACUGAGAAUCGGACUUCCCUGUGGUUCGCUGACCACAGACACUGCCUGACUGACUGAGUUUCCCUCCAAAUUCUACUCUCUUUUCAGCUAACCCAGUUGGCUCCGCCCCCUUCUCCAUGGCAACCAGCCUCUGAAUGCCAAGUAACUGAAAUAUUAACCCUUUUUAAAACACAGUUAAACAUGACUUUUAAAACACAAUUAAACAUGACAUCUGUAAACUAAAAUUCAUACUUCUUUACACUGAUGUUAACAGAAUUCUGGGAAAUGUAAUUUAGUGCAGGGCCUUUUGAAUUCUCUUUAUAGGGCUUCUCAGCUUCCCAAACUACAUUUCCCAGAAUUCUGUGCUAAAUCAGUCUCUUUACCAGCAAACUCUGCUUUCUCCCCGCUACUUCCCUCGCUUAAUGGCAAGAAGCCACUAAUUUAAAGGGGAAAAGCAGCCUUUUUGGCUUUGCUUUGCUUCCUUGCACUGAAAAUAAAACUGGCUUUGGAAGGCUUCCAAGAUUUACAAAAUUCCAAUGAAAGAGUAUUGGGUGUUAAGGGCAAAGAGGUUUUCUCAGAAAACAACAAGUAACAAUAAUUUUUGGAGAAGAUGGUGGCAAAUCCAAAGGAAUGACACAUUUGACUUUGGAACUCUGUGUAUGGCUUGAAGACAGGAAGAUAGCUAUAAAACCCACUGAGGCCUGGGAAUGAAAGUUAACCAAGUGGGAAGACUAAGAAGUAUCUGCAGGAGAACAGAUGGGCUGAAAAUUAAUAAUCAGAGAAGUUUCAGAAAUGUGCAACUUCAAUGAUUCCUCACCAUUGAUUGGGUCAGCUUGGACUGAUGGGAGCUGCAGUCCAACAACUUCUGGGAAGUCUGAAUUGCCCAUCUUGCUUCAGAAUGAAGUAUAUAAUAAAUGUGCAUUUCCCUAAGCCUUUUUAUAAGAAAUAAUCUGGAGUGUGUAUUUCUGUGAUAAGUAAAGAUAAAGGUUUCUCCUUGACCUUAAUUCUAGUCAAGUCCGACUUUGGGUGGUGGUGCU